UCCUGUGUAGCUCAGUUGGUAGAGCAUUUGGUUCUGUUUAGGUUUCUGAAAUACGUGUAAAACUUAAACGCCAAAAGGUCAGCGGUUCGAGUCCGUUCAUAGGAU
rnacentral:tRNA from 1 species